rnacentral:rRNA from 1 species
UACGUAGGGGCCUAGCGUUGUCCGGAAUUAUUGGGCGUAAAGAGCUCGUAGGCGGUUCGGCAAGUCGGAUGUGAAAUCUCCACGCUUAACGUGGAGGGGCCAUUCGAAACUGCUGUGACUCGAGUCCGGUAGGGGAGUGUGGAAUUCCCGGUGUAGCGGUGAAAUGCGCAGAUAUCGGGAGGAACACCAGUAGCGAAGGCGGCACUCUGGGCCAUUACUGGACGCUGAGGAGCGAAAGCGUGGGGAGCGAACAGG